rnacentral:lncRNA from 1 species
GACAAUUCUGGAGAAAAAAAAUGGGAUGUACAUAUCAUUUUAAAUUGAAAUUAUUUGUUUUAACUAUGCAAGUUAAUAAACACACUUUUGCUGAAAUUUGUUUUGCUGCUGCUGCUGUUGUUGUUAACUGCCAUGAUUGAUUUCCUCUGCCUUAGGAUUGCAAGUGUCCAGGGACAGGUCAGGGCACUGGUGGGACACCCACUGCUGCCACUUGGCCCUGGUUUGUCCUCAUGGAUGAGGUAUUAGGACAGCGGCAUUCCACCAACCCAACUGUCCUAAUUGCCACCAUCCAUGAGGACACACCAGGGCCAAGUACAGCAGUGGGUGACCAGGAGGUGGAGGAGCAGGAUAAGGACGAGGAGGAGGAGGAGGAGGAGGAGGAGGAGGAGGAAAGACAGCCAUGGCCAAAAGGGCCAAAUAGAAAGAGGGGCAGAGAUGAUGAGCUGCUGGACCUCAUAAAGGCGGAUAUGAGGAUGCAGAGGAAGGCAGAGGAGAGGAGAGCCCAGGAGACCAGGGAGAGGAUGGAGAGGCUGUUCUCUCUGCUAGAGAGACUGAAAACCAAGAGGAAGAAAGGAUAA